rnacentral:rRNA from 1 species
UUUUGGACAAUGGGGGCAACCCUGAUCCAGCAAUGCCGCGUGAGUGAAGAAGGCCUUCGGGUUGUAAAGCUCUUUUGUCAGGGAAGAAACACCGGCUUUAACACAGUCCGGGAAUGACGGUGCCUGAAGAAUAAGCACCGGCUAACUACGUGCCAGCAGCCGCGGUAAUACGUAGGGUGCGAGCGUUAAUCGGAAUUACUGGGCGUAAAGCGUGCGCAGGCGGUUAUACAAGACAGGCGUGAAAUCCCCGGGCUUAACCUGGGAAUGGCGCCUGUGACUGUAUAGCUAGAGUGUGUCAGAGGGGGGUAGAAUUCCACGUGUAGCAGUGAAAUGCGUAGAUAUGUGGAGGAAUACCAAUGGCGAAGGCAGCCCCCUGGGAUAACACUGACGCUCAUGCACGAA